rnacentral:rRNA from 1 species
GACGAACGCUGGCGGCGUGCCUAAUACAUGCAAGUAGAACGCUGAAGGAGGAGCUUGCUUCUCUGGAUGAGUUGCGAACGGGUGAGUAACGCGUAGGUAACCUGCCUGGUAGCGGGGGAUAACUAUUGGAAACGAUAGCUAAUACCGCAUAAUAUUGACUAUUGCAUGAUAGUUGAUUAAAAGGUGCAAUUGCACCACUACCAGAUGGACCUGCGUUGUAUUAGCUAGUUGGUGGGGUAACGGCUCACCAAGGCGACGAUACAUAGCCGACCUGAGAGGGUGAUCGGCCACACUGGGACUGAGACACGGCCCAGACUCCUACGGGAGGCAGCAGUAGGGAAUCUUCGGCAAUGGACGGAAGUCUGACCGAGCAACGCCGCGUGAGUGAAGAAGGUUUUCGGAUCGUAAAGCUCUGUUGUAAGAGAAGAACGAGUGUGAGAGUGGAAAGUUCACACUGUGACGGUAUCUUACCAGAAAGGGAC